rnacentral:piRNA from 1 species
UUGAGUGAGAAUCAGUGGUGACCUGAC